UAAAAAUAAAAAUAGCGUUUCGCUCUGCAACUAAACCCCAACUCUAUUCUAAUAUUUUCGGUGAUUUUUGAAAAACCUUCCUUUUUUUUACAUCGUUUCCAAGCAGAUUUUACACGUGAGGUUAAUAUCCGGUUUCUAAUAGUUAUUCACUCGAUUUCAGUCUUUCCGCUUUGAUUUUGCAGGCGAGGUUUAGUCUUCUUGGAUCAAGUUCUAAACCGUUGCUAAGCCACCUCAAUUACCUCCACCAACAGGUGAUUUAUGCCUAAAAAGUGAAUGUUUUGCUAACCUAAAAGGGUACGAGAUGCAGUUUUAUAUCAAGUAUAUGUGUACUUGGAUAUGUGGAGUUGAUUCCGCACCCAUUAUCUUCUAAUAAGUUUAGCUUUUCUAGAAAAGAACUUUGAUGCUUCAGCCACUAGGCCCACUACAAAUGAGUGCAACUUCAAUGCCUGAAACAUGUGAUUUCAUUAAACAUGUGUGAAUGUUCCAGUUGCAGUCAGCGUGAGUGAUCCAGAUGCAGACAACUUCCACUCCUGCAGAUAGAUUGAGUCUAUAAGGACUGUGCUCCAGCAAGCGUGUGCUUCCAUAACCUACAGAACUGGAUUAGGUGAUGCAUGGGAGCUCUCAUUAAUCUGGUUAUAAAGGGUUUGUGGCUGAAGCAAAGCAAGAUCUGUACAAAACCAUUCAUAGUAUUCGUUGAAGGCCAGUUUGUAAUACAAGAUACAUAAAAAAGAUUGGGGUGUUCAACUAAUGUUAAGACUCUCUUUGGUAAUCUGUUCAGCGUAUGAGAACAAACGCUACAUGUUAGUAUCCCAGUCAACGGGUAUAAUGAAUUUGUAGCUUGAAGUUGUUCGUACAAGUAUCAGCUGGUGAAAAGCUCACUUUCACUCACUGAAAUGGAGGCAAUACUGAUAUAGCAAUGAACUAUGUAAA